rnacentral:rRNA from 1 species
AGGCAGCAGUGGGGAAUAUUGCGCAAUGGAGGAAACUCUGACGCAGCGACGCCGCGUGAAGGAUGAAGGCCCUCUGGGUUGUAAACUUCUGUAGAGAGGGAAGAAUGUCUCGCUUCGCGGGAUUGACGGUACCUCUAAAGUAAGCAUCGGCUAACUACGUGCCAGCAGCCGCGGUAAUACGUAGGAUGCUAGCGUUGUCCGGAAUCACUGGGUGUAAAGGGAGCGCAGGCGGAUUUUCAAGUCGGUGGUGAAAUCUUACAGCUUAACUGUAAAAUUGCCGCCGAUACUGUUUAUCUUGAGUAUGGAAGAGGGCGAUAGAAUUCAUGGUGUAGCGGUGAAAUGCGUAGAUAUCAUGAAGAAUACCGGUAGCGAAGGCGGUCGCCUGGUCCAUUACUGACGCUCAUGCUCGAAAGUGUGGGGAGCAAACAGGAUUAGAUACCCUGGUAGUCCACACCCUAAACGAUGAAUACUCGAUGUUGGAUCGCAAGGUUCAGCGUCUAAGCUAACGCAUUAAGUAUUCCACCUGGGGAGUACGAUCGCAAGGUUGAAACUCAAAGGAAUUGACGGGGGCCCGCACAAGCAGUGGAGCAUGUGGUUUAAUUCGAUGCAACGCGAAGAACCUUACCAGGGUUUGAAAGGCAAGAUUAUAGACGAUGAAAGUUGUUUACCCGCAAGGGGUCUUGUACAGGUGCUGCAUGGCUGUCGUCAGCUCGUGCCGUGAGGUGUUAGGUUAAGUCCUGCAACGAGCGCAACCC